ACCAAAUUUUGGUUGAAAGUGUGGCAGAACUGGGCUUUGGCGAGAGAAUAUGAUGUUGACAUUGAGAAGUACGUAUCCAAUUUUGUCAUGCUAAUAAUAAACAAGUAAUCCUUCGAUGUUUCGCGUACAAUUAGGGAUUAAUAGUACUCGUGAUGUUUGGAAAUUUGCCAAAUUCUACUCCCCCCGGCGGCUCGUCCAAUUUUGGCAAAAUUUCCAAACAUCACUCGUACUAUUAAUCCCAAAUUGUACUCGCCAUCGCAUGAUUACCUAUACUAACAAUUGGCUUCUUUUUAAUAACUGAGCGUUAUGCUAUCGUGGUGAUUUCCAUAAGAUGAAGGAUUUUUAUACAUGGAAAUUCCGAGUGCAAAUUAUAUACAUUUUUAGGCCUUACCAGGAACAGCUGUGAAAAAUGCAACCAUGUAGGCCCUGAGGCAGUAAAUCCUUAAAGUCUUCCUAUACGUAAACGGACACAUAUUGACUGUGCUGGCUGGCCUUACUUUUGAGUAAGGGCAGCCCGAACAUGCAGUCACGUGACCGUGUUCGAUUCGAUUUUAUUAGUCUUCCGAAAACCCGGAGUAUACUCCAAACAGCAAAUGCAUGGAGCAGCCUGACUCUAAUGAUGCAACGAGGCUCGUUCAGGGAUAGAGUCGGUUUUUCAUUGGCACUGCAGUGUUAAAAUUAGUAUAAAAUCUGUUAUAGAUAUACACUCUAAAAAAUAAGGUGUGUAUUUUCAACACACCUUCUGUCGCCAAAUUCACACACCUUAAGGCGUGUCUUUUUGCACAGGUUAAGGUGUGUAUUUUCCGAUUUGUAUUUUUUUUUAUUAACUUUAACUCAGCUUAUGAAGCAAUCCUAUAAUCCUAAGAUGCCCUGUGACUAAUGCACUAUAUAGCAAAUUCUAAAUAAUAAUUCUGAAUGCUGUGACAAUAUAUAAAAUGUACCAUAUGUAAACAAAAUUUAGACAUCCCAUACUGUCAGUAGUCAUGCA